AACGAACGCUGGCGGCAUGCCUAACACAUGCAAGUCGAACGAGACCUUCGGGUCUAGUGGCGCACGGGUGCGUAACGCGUGGGAACCUGCCCUUAGGUUCGGAAUAACUCCCCGAAAGGGGUGCUAAUACCGGAUAAUGUCUUCGGACCAAAGAUUUAUCGCCUUUGGAUGGGCCCGCGUUGGAUUAGCUAGUUGGUAGGGUAAAAGCCUACCAAGGCGACGAUCCAUAGCUGGUCUGAGAGGAUGAUCAGCCACACUGGGACUGAGACACGGCCCAGACUCCUACGGAAGGCAGCAGUGGGGAAUAUUGGACAAUGGGCGAAAGCCUGAUCCAGCAGUGCCGCGUGAGUGAUGAAGGCCUUAGGGUUGUAAAGCUCUUUUACCCGGGAUGAUAAUGACAGUACCGGGAGAAUAAGCUCCGGCUAACUCCGU
rnacentral:rRNA from 1 species